AAAUUGAUAUGUAACAUCAGUCUCUAUUAAAAAGAGUAUUGUUGUCACGUCCCGGAUUGCACGUUUUUUUAGGCACGCCAACAGACCCGCCGUAUACAUAGAAAUUUUUUCUGUAUACGAAGCGAUAUCUGUACCUAUAAACAAAACCAAACUAUAACUAUCAGGUAAAGAGCUGCUAAACUGAAAAUAGCAUAUAUAUAAAAACCUCGAGGGGUUCCUGUAUAUACAAAAAGUCCACUACACACUCGCUUCAGCAAGUGCGCCGACAACAACCAUAUAUACAUAAAUACCCCAAAACUGCCUGUGGGAGGUACUCCUCUAGCACUGUAGCAAGACUGGAAGGGAUCUAGCUCGCGAUUCCCUUUCCACGAUCAGAAUAAGCAACAGCAGCAGCCGCAGACGAGGGCUCUGCAAAAAGGGAUCAACAAUUGGGUGUGAGAACUACUACAAAAAGUAGUUCUUAGUGGGUACCGCUACCGACCUCAACGGCUCACCCACUAAGUCUACAGAAAGUAUGCAUAAGGAUAGUAAAGGAAGCUGGUAAAACUCUACAGCUAUAUGCCACUAUACUAUCGCUAACCAACACUAGCUAUCUGU
rnacentral:lncRNA from 1 species